rnacentral:rRNA from 2 species
UUUAAUGGCUGGUGUUCUAACGUAGACCCGUAAUCCGGGUUGCGGACAGUGUCUGGUGGGUAGUUUGACUGGGGCGGUCUCCUCCCAAAGAGUAACGGAGGAGCACGAAGGUUGGCUAAUCCUGGUCGGACAUCAGGAGGUUAGUGCAAUGGCAUAAGCCAGCUUGACUGCGAGCGUGACGGCGCGAGCAGGUGCGAAAGCAGGUCAUAGUGAUCCGGUGGUUCUGAAUGGAAGGGCCAUCGCUCAACGGAUAAAAGGUACUCCGGGGAUAACAGGCUGAUACCGCCCAAGAGUUCAUAUCGACGGCGGUGUUUGGCACCUCGAUGUCGGCUCAUCACAUCCUGGGGCUGAAGUAGGUCCCAAGGGUAUGGCUGUUCGCCAUUUAAAGUGGUACGCGAGCUGGGUUUAGAACGUCGUGAGACAGUUCGGUCCCUAUCUGCCGUGGGCGCUGGAGAAUUGAGGGGGGCUGCUCCUAGUACGAGAGGACCGGAGUGGACGCAUCACUGGUGUUCGGGUUGUCAUGCCAAUGGCACUGCCCGGUAGCUAAAUGCGGAAGAGAUAAGUGCUGAAAGCAUCUAAGCACGAAACUUGCCCCGAGAUGAGUUCUCCCUGAGACUUUAAGUCUCCUGAAGGAACGUUGAAGACGACGACGUUGAUAGGUCGGGUGUGUAAGCGCAGCGAUGCGUUGAGCUAACCGAUACUAAUGAACCGUGAGGCUUAACCUUACAACGCCGAAGGUGUUUUG